rnacentral:rRNA from 1 species
UUAGUGGCAGACGGGUGAGUAACGCGUAGAUAACGUGCCCCUCCGCUGGGGAUAGCCACUGGAAACGGUGGGUAAAACCGAAUACUCUUGCCUGGGGACAUCCCCGGGGAAGGAAAACUUUCGAGUGCGGAGGGAGCGGUUUGCGUCCUAUUAGCUAGUUGGUAGGGUAAAAGCCUACCAAGGCGACGAUGGGUAGCCGGUCUGAGAGGAUGAUCGGCCACACUGGCACUGAGAUACGGGCCAG